UUUUGUUCUGGACAGAAGGAAGUGUUUAUUCCAGAAAUCACCAUGCCAGAAAUCAUCGUUCGGCUUUAUUUAACGCGGAGCUAUUAAAGAAAACUCCAGUCGAUAAAGAGUUCAACCAAAACUCGUAAUAAGGAGGAAGGAGAGAAAAGAAAACUUUAGUCUAACAAGAUGGAAAUCGAAACGAUGUUGGGAGGGUCGAGAAUCUGGAGAUAUCAAUUCUUGACUUAACACUGAACAGCCUGAAAUUCAAUUUAUUGCUCAUUGGCCAACAUCAACAAGCAACAAGGCAACAUCUGACGAUUCUGAUCUUGCCAUGAACGGAAGAGAACACUUGGUGCAACAUUUGGUUAACUUUUGAAGAGAGAGUGAGGAGAUAAUACUUCAAGGAUUUCAUUCCUCCAAUAACUAUGGCAGAUUUGUUUCCGGUUUACCCUCGAGGCUGUUCGAUAGACUUUAUCAAUUGACGGAAAAUGACGAGUGGUUGGCCGCGCUGAAAUUCAAGAUCGAUAAAUUAUAUAAAUUUUAAUAAAUUACAAGUGCAUAUCUGGGCUCCCUUCUUCAGUGGCCCUGUUUCCCUAAAUAACCACUAACCAACGCCCGCCGGUGGUCACUCACUCGCUGCGACAACCAGGAGGAAGGGAGAUGUUUGGUCGAACGGGGACUUGCAAGGCGCAUGAUUCGAUGAAAUCUUUUGGAGGGUCAUGAGUCUAAGCCGGAAGCCUACUAUGAUACACUGCUCUCAUAAUAACUGCUCCUCAGCUCUCUUCGCUCUUUUUCCGGUUUCUCUUAACCAUGGCCGGGUAAUCUCCCUGGUCGAGUCAGUCGGGCAGUGUCUCCCCCUGCUUGACUGGCAGCAGUUUGUAACGGACGGUCUGUUUAAUAAAUUAUUUU